AAAGCAAAAAAACAAAACAAAAAUAAGUUCUGUCUCAAAGGCAGGCCGAGUUAAAAAUAGCUCUGGCCGCUCUUUUUCUCUGCUUCUCCGUUUACAUAAGCACACAGGGGGGGAGGGGAGCACUUCCGGUCUGGCCACCCAGCCCAGCAUCAGAUCCAUAACACAUAACACGCCUGCUGGGUGUGAGACGACAGGAGCGAGAAGGAGAGGAGAGGACAGAAGAAGAGAGGAGAGGAUAAGAGUGGAGUCGAUAGGGGAGAGGAAGAGGAGAGAGAGAAAAAGGAGACGAGGAAAGAAAAGAGGUCCAGAGAAGAGGACUAGAACGCAGUAGAGCCACUUAUGUCCACUUGUCUCCUCAGUCUAUUCUCUCACAUUUGCUCAGAGCUCCGUCUCUUCACCAUCACUUUUGUAACAAAGAUGAGUUUUUAUUAACUUAUACUUUCAGUAUAAUUAUUUUUUUACAUUAUAAUCUCUCUAAUUCAGAAGAGAGAGAGAAGAAACUGAAGAGAAACAACAAGGGAAGAUCAAAAAAGUAAACGAUGAUUAUGGAAAAAAGGAGAGGUGCAGAAAAUU